GACGUAGGGCGCGAGCGUUGUCCGGAUUUAUUGGGCGUAAAGAGCUCGUAGGCGGCUUGUCGCGUCGAAUGUGAAAACUCAGGGCUCAACCCUGCGCUUGCAUUCGAUACGGGCAGGCUAGAGUUCGGUAGGGGAGACUGGAAUUCCUGGAUGUAGCGGUGAAAUGCGCAGAUAUCAGGAGGAACACCGGUGGCGAAGGCAGCUCGCUGGGACGGUACUGACGCUGGAGGCGCGAAAGCGUGGGGAGCAAACAGG
rnacentral:rRNA from 1 species